UUCACAGUUCCACAUCUGGCUGAGGUUUGAGCUAUAUACUAUUUGGGUCUUUUUCCUCCCUCUUUUUUCCUGCAAUCCUUCUUAUCACUUUCACUGUCCCUCAGCACUCGGUGCAUUUUAAUGUAUGUACUGAUGAUUCAUAAUGAAGGCUUUUAUGGAAGAUCUAUGAAUGCUGACAAAUCUGGAAAAUAAACUCAAAUUAGUCCAACUUGGUUAUUACUUUUUUCCGUAAGGCGGUGCUGAAAACUCUUUAUUAAUGGUUGUGUAUAGUUCAACCACCCCAUAUGCACAUCUUUCCAAAUCUCAUCUUGAACUUGAAUUGUCUUUUGUUUACUCUUCUUCAAGGCCUCCUACUCAGAAUAAAUGUAGUGAAAAAAAAAGGGGGAAAAGCUAAUAAUAUGUAAAGUGAACAUAGAAAACGAAAACCUUAUUUAUCAAUACAGCAGCAAGACAAUAUUCUUAAGAAAACACUUAGAAGGGAAAGAAUUCAGGCCUUUUACAAACACUGCAAUUUCUAAAUUCCUUAUAUGUUGUAUGUGCAGAUCAAACAUUCCGAAUGGACAG
rnacentral:misc_RNA from 1 species